rnacentral:rRNA from 1 species
GACGAACGCUGGCGGCGUGCCUAAUACAUGCAAGUAGAACGCUGAAGGAGGAGCUUGCUUCUCCGGAUGAGUUGCGAACGGGUGAGUAACGCGUAGGUAACCUGCCUGGUAGCGGGGGAUAACUAUUGGAAACGAUAGCUAAUACCGCAUAAGAGUAGAUGUUGCAUGACAUUUGCUUAAAAGGUGCAAUUGCAUCACUACCAGAUGGACCUGCGUUGUAUUAGCUAGUUGGUGGGGUAACGGCUCACCAAGGCGACGAUACAUAGCCGACCUGAGAGGGUGAUCGGCCACACUGGGACUGAGACACGGCCCAGACUCCUACGGGAGGCAGCAGUAGGGAAUCUUCGGCAAUGGACGGAAGUCUGACCGAGCAACGCCGCGUGAGUGAAGAAGGUUUUCGGAUCGUAAAGCUCUGUUGUAAGAGAAGAACGAGUGUGAGAGUGGAAAGUUCAC